GUUGCUUAAGAUUAAGCCAUGCAUGUCUAAGUAUAAAUAGUAUACAGUGAAACUGCGAAUGGCUCAUUAAAACAGUUAUAGUUUAUUUGAUAGUGCAAAUUACAUGGAUAACCGUGGUAAUUCUAGAGCUAAUACAUGCGCAAAUACCUGACGCAAGAAAGGUAGCAUUUAUUAGAUUUAACCAUCACAUGGUGAAUCAUAGUAACUUGGCUGACCGCGUGAAUACGUGGCAAAUCAUUCAAGUUUCUGCCCUAUCAGCUUUCGAUGGUAGUGUAUUGGACUACCAUGGCAGUCACGGGUAACGGAGAAUUAGGGUUCGAUUCCGGAGAGGGAGCCUGAGAAACGGCUACCACAUCUAAGGAAGGCAGCAGGCGCGUAAAUUACCCAAUCCCGAUUCGGGGAGGUAGUGACAAGAAAUAACAACCUGGGCGGUAAACGUUCCGGGAUUGCAAUGAGAUAAAUCUAAAUCCAUAAGCGAUUAACAAUUGGAGGGCAAGUCUGGUGCCAGCAGCCGCGGUAAUUCCAGCUCCAAUAGCGUAUACUUAAGUUGUUGCAGUUAAAAAGCUCGUAGUUGAAAUUCGAGUCAGUUGCUGAUUGGCAUCUUGUCAGUCUGUUAAUUGGCUCUCCGUCUACAAUCUCUUCUUGCGCCUUAGGGUUGGCGCUGAGUGAGUA
rnacentral:rRNA from 1 species